GACGAACGCUGGCGGCGUGCCUAAUACAUGCAAGUCGAACGCUUCUUUCCUCCCGAGUGCUUGCCCUCAAUUGGAAAGAGGAGUGGCGGACGGGUGAGUAACACGUGGGUAACCUACCCAUCAGAGGGGGAUAACACUUGGAAACAGGGGCUAAUACCGCAUAACAGUUUAUGCCGCAUGGCAUAAGAGUGAAAGGGGCUUUCGGGGGUCGCUGGUGGAUGGAACCGCGGUGCAUUAGCUAGUUGGUGAGGUAACGGCUCACCAAGGCCACGAUGCAUAGCCGACCUGAGAGGGUGAUCGGCCACACUGGGACUGAGACACGGCCCAGACUCCUACGGGAGGCAGCAGUAGGGAAUCUUCGGCAAUGGACGAAAGUCUGACCGAGCAACGCCGCGUGAGUGAAGAAGGUUUUCGGAUCGUAAAACUCUGUUGUUAGAGAAGAACAAGGACGUUAGUAACUGAACGUCCCCUGACGGUAUCUAACCAGAAAGCCACGGCUAACUACGUG
rnacentral:rRNA from 1 species